AACGAACGCUGGCGGCGUGCUUAACACAUGCAAGUCGAGUGCGCGUGCCGUAGCAAUACGGCAUGGCGCACGGCGCACGGGUGCGUAACACGUGGGCAAUCUGCCCUCCGGUGGGGAAUAACCCCGCGAAAGCGGGGCUAAUUCCGCAUAACAUUCCCUGGACUCCGGUUCGGGGAUUCAAAGCAGUGAUGCGCCGGAGGAGGAGCCCGCGCCCGAUUAGCUAGUUGGUGAGGUAACGGCUCACCAAGGCAAUGAUCGGUAGCUGGUCUGAGAGGAUGGCCAGCCACACUGGAACUGAGACACGGUCCAGACUCCUACGGGAGGCAGCAGUGGGGAAUCUUGCGCAAUGGGCGAAAGCCUGACGCAGCGACGCCGCGUGGGGGAUGAAGCUUUUCGGAGUGUAAACCCCUUUCGACUGGGACGAAUGCCCGCAAGGGAGUGACGGUACCGGUAGAAGAAGCCCCGGCUAACUACGUGCCAGCAGCCGCGGUAAGACGUAGGGGGCCAGCGUUGUUCGGAAUUACUGGGUGUAAAGGGUUCGUAGGCGGUGUGGCAAGUCGGGAGUGAAAUUUC
rnacentral:rRNA from 1 species